rnacentral:rRNA from 1 species
CCAGAGAACUUAGCAGAGAUGCUUUGGUGGCCCUUCGGGAACUCUGAGACAGGUGCUGCAUGGCUGUCGUCAGCUCGUGUUGUGAAAUGUUGGGUUAAGUCCCGCAACGAGCGCAACCCUUAUCCUUUGUUGCCAGCGGCUCGGCCGGGAACUCAAAGGAGACUGCCGGUGAUAAACCGGAGGAAGGUGGGGAUGACGUCAAGUCAUCAUGGCCCUUACGGCCAGGGCUACACACGUGCUACAAUGGCGCAUACAAAGAGAAGCGACCUCGCGAGAGCAAGCGGACCUCAUAAAGUGCGUCGUAGUCCGGAUUGGAGUCUGCAACUCGACUCCAUGAAGUCGGAAUCGCUAGUAAUCGUAGAUCAGAAUGCUACGGUGAAUACGUUCCCGGGCCUUGUACACACCGCCCGUCACACCAUGGGAGUGGGUUGCAAAAGAAGUAGGUAGCUUAACCUUCGGGAGGGCGCUUACCACUUUGUGAUUCAUGACUGGGGUGAAGUCGUAACAAGGUAAGCGUAGCGAG